AAGAGUGUGGAUGGUAUUCCUAGCCGGCUGAAGAAACUACAGGACCUCUGACAGAGCAGUUGCUGGGAGUGACCAUGAGAGCAAGAAGGAACUCUUGAGUGGCUGCUGGGACUGAGUACAAGACUUCAGCCCUAUGGGGUUUGUUUUUGUUUUCACAGACAGACUGUGUGUGACUCCGCUAAAGGGCUGAGUUGCUGAAGACCUACUACAAUCAGAGAGAAAGAGUGCAGGCACAUGCACUCAGCCAGGGGCUGCUCUCGGGAGGAAGAUGAAAGAUCCUGUCUUUAUUCACCAGCUUGAUUUAAUGUACAAUGUCAGUGAUGUGGAGGAAGUCCUAAAGGUGGCAAGGCAACCCGGAGAAAUAAAUUCUCAGAAUAAUGCAGAUCUUGGAGCUGAGAUUCAAAGGGGCCUGGGGUAGACAGGAAAAAACCCGUGAAGUGGUGAGAAGCUGAAAGAUGGCUGGAGCUGCUUGUGAAGAAAAGUGAUGGGGUGCAGUGAGGUGGAGAAAAGGUCACCAUGGUAUACAGACUGCCUGCAACAGAUGAAACAGUAAAGAAAAAAUGUAGAGCACUGGUGGAGACAGAGGGUUAUUACAGUAUGAUACUGUCAUGAAGAAUUAUUGAAUCUUGUGAUAAAGUUUAUUUGGCUCCCUCAUAAACCCUGCAAAGUCUUGAUUCACCAUCCAAAACACUUCUGCUGAUCAGAGUUAUCUGCUCAGCUACAGAGGAGAGUGUCUCAUGCUGUGAAUUUGCUAACUAGUCUGUGGAUAAUAUCACACGGAUUCACACUAGAUAGUCAGCCUCUGUGCUGGCAGAACCACACUGGAGUGAAGUCAGAAUGUGGGACAACAAAUAAGACAUCCUCUCUAUUUGAUUUUUAAGCAGACUCACUCCUUGGCACUCUUGUAACUUUUGGGGCGCUUUGGACUACAAUGUGAACUCAUGUCCUCCUUGGCAGCAAAGCAACUGUGGCAGUAUCUGGAGUCCUUAGAUUACCCUGAGUCUUGUCAUUUUGAUUUUACACCUAUGUAUGUUAUGCAGACAAUGCUGGUUUUAUUUGUUGAUCUUCUGCUGAUUAAAUGCUAAUCUAUCCAU